rnacentral:rRNA from 1 species
UACGAAGGGGGCUAGCGUUGUUCGGAAUUACUGGGCGUAAAGCGCACGUAGGCGGAUCUUUAAGUCAGAGGUGAAAUCCCGGGGCUCAACCCCGGAACUGCCUUUGAUACUGGGGAUCUCGAGUUCGGGAGAGGUGAGUGGAACUGCGAGUGUAGAGGUGAAAUUCGUAGAUAUUCGCAAGAACACCAGUGGCGAAGGCGGCUCACUGGCCCGAUACUGACGCUGAGGUGCGAAAGCGUGGGGAGCAAACAGG